AGUGGCGUUGAGUUUCUCGACCCUUUGCUUUAGGAUUAGUGUAGUUCAUUUCUGAUGGACGGGAAGGAUAUAACCCAGCGGUAGAGUGUCACCUUUGGAGUGGUGGGAAGUCAUCAGUUCGGAGUUUGAUUAUCCCUAAACCCAAUGUAAGUUUUUUCUAUUUUGACUUGCUCCCCUGCCGAUCCGAGAGGAGAGGAUGAUCAGCCACACUGGGACCGACGGCCCAGACCCCACGGGAGGCAGUGGGGAAUUUUCCGCAAUGGGCGAAAGUCUGACGAGCAAUGCCGUGGAGGUAGAAGGCCCAAUGGGUCGGGAACUUCUUCGAGGAGAAGAAACAAUGACGGUAUCUGAGGAAUAAGCAUCGCAUUAACCAAAGCCAGCAGUGGUAAGACAGAGGAUGCAAGCCGUUAUCCGGAACGAUUGGGCGUAAAAGGUCUGUAGGUGGUUUUCAAGUCCGCCGUCAACCCCAGGCUCAACCCUGGACAGGCGGAAAACCACUGCUACGGAGUACGGGCAGAGGGAACCCGGGUGGAGCGGUGAAAUGCGUAGAGAUCGGAAACACCAACGGCGAAACGGCACUUCCACAAUGACACCGAGAGACGAAAGCUGGGAGAGCAAAUGGGAUUAGAUACCCCAGCAGUCCCAGCCGCAAACGAUGGAUUACCAGGCGCUGUGCGUAAAAUCGACCCGUGCGCUGCCAGCGCUGGGCGCAUCCCGCCUGGGGAGGCGCCCGCAAAGAAUGAAACCCAAAGGGAACUGAUUUGGGACGGCUGGCGGAGGCGUGGUCGACCUGAUGCAAAGCGAAGCGAACCUACCAGGGUUUGACAUGCCGUGAAUCCUCCGAGGGGGGCCCCUGGGAACGCGGACAGGUGGUGGUGCCACGCCGCCUGUGCCGUAAGGUGUUGGGUUAAGUCCCGCAACGAGCGCAACCCCGUGUUUAGGCUGCCACCAUUGAGUUUGGAACCUGAACAGACGUCGGUGAUAAGGAGAGGAAGGUGGGGAUGACGCCACAUUCCCCUCAUGCCCCAUGUCCGACACACGUGCUGCAAAUGGCCGGGACAAAGGGUCGCGGAUCCCUAGGAGGAGGAUGAACCCCAAAACCCCGUCCUCAGUUCGGACACAUUGGCAGGGCUGCAACUGCCUGCAUGGAAUGGUGGAACUGCUAGCAAUUGGUCAGCCAUAAUAAGGGCGGUGACCUGUUCCUGGCCUUGGACCCCCGCCUCACAUGGAGCUGGCCAUGCCCGAAGUCGUUACCUCAACCCAAGGAGGGGGGAUGCCGGGGGCUGGGCCAGGACUGGAAGUCGGGAACAAGGUAGCUGCAAAAGUGGUUGAGGCCU
rnacentral:rRNA from 1 species